rnacentral:rRNA from 1 species
GGUUCGAUCCUCUGGCUCAGAUUGAACGCUGGCGGGAUGUUUUUGCUAUAUGCAAGUCGAACGGCACGGACUUCUGGUCUGGUGGCGAGCGGCGAACGGGUGAGUAAUGUAUCGGAACGUGCCUAGUAGCGGGGGAUAACUACGCGAAAGCGCGAAGCAAUUACCGUACACGCUACCUCCUUCGGGGGAAAGCGGGGACCUGGGCCCUCGCACUAGAGCGGCCGAUAUCGGAUUAGCUAGUUGGUGGGUAACGGCCUACUCAAGGCGACGAUCCGUAGCUGGUUUGAGAGGACGACCAGCCACACUGGGACUGAGACACGGCCCAGACUCCUACGGGAGGCAGCAGUGGGGAAUUUUGGACAAUGGGGGAAACCCUGGAUCCAGCCAUCCCGCGUGCGAUGAAGGCCUUGCCAGGUAAAGCACUUUUGGCAGGAAAGAAACGGCACGGGAUAAUACCCGUGCAACUGACGGUACCUGCAGAAUAAGCACCGGCUAACCAUGCGCCAGCAGCCGCGGUAAUACGUAGGGUGCAAGCGUUAAUCGGAAUUACUGGGCGCAAGCGUGCAGGCGGUUCGGAAAGAAAGAUGAAAUCCUGAGCUUAACUUUGGAACUGUACUUAAAUCACGAGCCAGAGUGUGUCAGGAGGAGGGAAUCCGCGUGUAGCAGUGAAAUGCGUAGAUAUGCGGAGGAACACCGAUGGCGAAGGCAGCCUCUCGGGAUAACACUGACGCUCAUGGCACGAAAGCGUGGGGAGCAAACAGAUUAGAUACCCUGGUAGUCCACGCCCCAAAACGAUGUCAACUAGCUGUUGGGGCUUUCGGGCCUGGUAGCGCAGCUAACGCAGAAGUUGACCGCCUGGGGAGUACGGUCAAGAUUAAAACUCAAAGGAAUUGACGGGGACCUGCGCAAGCGGUUGUGGAUGAUGUGGAUUAAUUCGAUGCAACGCGAAAAACCUUACCUACCCUUGACAUGUCUGAAUCCCGAAGAGAUUUGGGAGUGCUCGCAAGAGAACCGGAACACAGGUGCCGUAAUGUAUCAGCCCGUCAGCUCGUAGUCAUGAGAUGUUGGGUUAAGUCCCGCAACGAGCGCAACCUUGGUUACGGUUACGAAAGCGCACUGAAUGAGAUUGCCGGUGACAAACCGGAGGAAGGUGAUGACGUCAAGUCCUCAUGGCCCUUAUGGGUAGGGCUUCAAGCACGUCAUACAAUGGUCGGGACAGAGGGUCGCCAACCUGGGCGUGGGGAGCCAAUCCCAGAAACCCGAUCGUAUCCGGAUUCACAGUUCAUGCAACUCGACUGCGUGAAGUCGGAAUCGCUAGUACCUGUGGAUCAGCAUGUCGCGGUGAAUACGUUCCCGGGUCUUGUACACACUGCCCGUCACACCAUGGGAGUGGGUUUUUACCAGGAAGUAGUUAGCCUAACCGUAAGGAGGCGAUACCACGGUAGGAUUCAUGACUGCAAGCGAAGUCGUAACAAGGUAACCUUC